GCUGCAUGGCUGUCGUCAGCUCGUGCUGUGAAGUGUUGGGUUAAGUCCGCACGAGCGCAACCCUAUCAUCUGUUGCCAGCAUUUAAGGUGGGGACGUCAGAUGAGACUGCCGGUGACAAACCGGAGGAAGGUGGGGACGACGUCAAGUCAUCAUGGCCCUUAUGUCCUGGGCUACACACGUGCUACAAUGGCCGGUACAGAGUGAAGCGAAACCGCGAGGUGAAGCAAAACGCAGAAAGCCGGUCUCAGUACGGAUUGGAGUCUGAAACUCGACUUCAUGAAGUUGGAAUCGCUAGUAAUCGCGCAUCAGCAUGGCGCGGUGAAUACGUUCCCGGGCCUU
rnacentral:rRNA from 1 species